rnacentral:rRNA from 1 species
AGUGAACGCUGGCGGUAGGCCUAACACAUGCAAGUCGAACGGCAGCACAGUAAGAGCUUGCUCUUACGGGUGGCGAGUGGCGGACGGGUGAGGAAUACAUCGGAAUCUACUUUUUCGUGGGGGAUAACGUAGGGAAACUUACGCUAAUACCGCAUACGACCUACGGGUGAAAGCAGGGGAUCUUCGGACCUUGCGCGAUUGAAUGAGCCGAUGUCGGAUUAGCUAGUUGGCGGGGUAAAGGCCCACCAAGGCGACGAUCCGUAGCUGGUCUGAGAGGAUGAUCGGCCACACUGGAGCUGAGCCACGGUCCAGACUCCUACGGGAGGCAGCAGUGGGGAAUAUUGGACAAUGGGCGCAAGCCUGAUCCAGCCAUACCGCGUGGGUGAAGAAGGCCUUCGGGUUGUAAAGCCCUUUUGUCGGGAAAGAAAAGCAGCAGGUUAAUACCCCGCUGUUCUGACGGUACCCAAAGAAUAAGCACCGGCUAACUUCGUG